CUGGAGAAAGAGACCUUUCACACAAAGGGUGUCUCUUCCUCCUCUCGUAUGGUAGACCUUCAAGCAGAGGUUGUUGGUUUUUCCUGCUUCUAGUGUGUAUUGUCUCCUACAUGCACAAGGAACACACCCUAAAAGCACUUUUAUAGAAAAUAAAAAAAAAACGCAAUAAAAGAAAAAUAAAAACAAAAAUAAUUACAAUCAAGUCAAAUCCAAUCAAUUAACACUACUAGACAAA
rnacentral:lncRNA from 1 species